ensembl:lncRNA
GGCGGAGGCCCCCAGAGUCAGGUGGGACAUGGGGGGGGGGGACAGGGACAUGGACACCCCCAGAACCUGGGGGGACAUGGGGGGGUACCCCCAGAGCCCAGGGGUACAUCAUGGGGGUGGAGGGGGCAGGGACACCCCCAGAGACUGGGGGGAUAUGGGGGGGCAGGGAGACCCCCAGAACCUGGUGGGACAUGGAGGGAGAAGGACCCCCAGAGCCAGGUGGGACAUGGGGGGGGGGCACCCCCAGAACCUGGGGGAUCAUGGAAGGAGGGGCACCCCCAGAGCCUGGGGGGACGUGGGGGGCAGGGAGACCCCCAGAGUGGGGGGGGACAUGGAGGGAGAAGGACCCCCAGAGCCAGGUGGGACAUGGGGGGGGACAACGGAGGUCCAUUGGGUUCUAUGGGGUCCACUUGGGGUCCAUUUGGGGUCCCGCAGGUGGUGGUGCUGCUGUACGGGGGUACAUUGGGUUCUAUGGGGUCCAUUUGGGGCUCUUUUGGGGUCCGCAGGUGGCAGUGUUGCAGUACGGGGGUCCAUUUGGGGUCCAUGGGGUCCAUUUGGGAUCUAUGGGGUCCGCAGGUGGCGGUGCUGCAGUACGGGGGUCCAUUUGGGGUCCAUGGGGUCCAUUUGGGAUCUAUGGGGUGCGCAGGUGGCGGUGCUGCAGUACGGGGGUCCAUUUGGGGUCCAUGUGGGGUCCAU